AGAGGUUUGUGAGAACUCAAAGGUCUCGGAGUUUUCGGGGGCACUGGAAGGCAGAAAUUGUUUCUGAGCGGCUGUGAAAGAACAAAGAAACAUUUGGAAUACGAAAAACUAUGGAAGCAAGCAGUUGCUAUUCGUUCGCCAUACGUCUGAUGAAGGUGAACAUGGAAAGACCCAACCUUGCGGAAUACAGCUACCUUCAGGAUGAUCUCCUGGUACAAGUCAAUCAAAAGAACAUGGCAGUGUACAGAUACACUGGAUGAGUUCCUCCAUCAAUAAUGAGCACAGUGGAUAGAGGUGAACAGAUGGACGUUAUUUAUUUGGAUUUCCAGAAGGCAUUCAAAAAGGUCAACUGUUUGACUGAAAUAGAAUCACAAGUACAAUAUCGCAGACAGAAUUUUGCUUUCUGUCGAUACAUCAGAACCAAAUGAAUAGAAAUUCACCAACUUUGCUCCCCAUCCAUCAACCAGAUCUCUUCAGAACAUGCGGCUGAGGAAGAAUCAGAUCUUUUACAAUCUGAGAAUGACCCAAGAAAUACAAACUGUUGCAGCUCACAGAAAGAAGGAAACUCCAGAGAGGACCAAGCUUCAACCAUGUGGAAUGAUUUUUUCAAGAAUAAUGAAACAUACAUCAUCUACUCUGUUUAUAUGAAAAUACGUGGAGCUUUACUGUAGAAUCAAUUCCAAAAACAGUGAAUGAUUUAAUCUCUCUUAUUACUGUCCAUAUCAUAAUCAGGUUAUUGGAUUAGUAGUAAAAGAAAUUGUACAUUAUAAACAAACUGAUCACAUUGUGGAUUAUUCUGAAAAUUGAUGCCUAAAAUAGAUUGUAUUUUCAACAAUUAUAGUAGCUUGUGAAUGUCUAAAAUUAUUAAUAUCACAGAUGAUAAAGUCAUGGAUCUAAUAGGAAAAGACUUCAUUUUCUACAAUAGUUGUGCGUCCAACUAUCAUAACAUAACCCUUAUUUGUGAACUAUGCAGCAAUGUUACUGAUUACUAGGAUGCACAGGGACAUGUCAUCAGAUGUAACAUGGGGCAUUGGGUUUUUCAGACUUUCAACUGCAGACACUCUUGCCUAGGCGAUCUAGCCAGAGUCGAUCAGACCCUCAACUUUUGUCCCAGAAGUAUUGGUCAACAACACGUGGCCAUCUGGAAGCUCGCUCAGCAGCCUAAUUAAGGUCUUCCACAGAAUUUACAUUACCAAAAUCAAGAUAUAAUUACUUGGGAGGAUUAUGACUUGAUUAAGCAUCUUUAGUUGACAGGGCAAUGCUGCUGAUAAAAAUGGAUAAAAAACAACUCCAUACUUUCAAAAACAUACCAGUAAUGGAUAAUGAUGUGCAGUUAUUGCUGAGCUUCAUCAGCAGUAAUUCAGUAUGCAUGAAAUAGUCUCAUAUUUUGUUUUGAAUGGGAGAACAUUUAGCCUAUUUAGAUAAUGCUCGUUCUUGGAGCAAAUUCAUCAACCGCAUUCUCUGACUUAUUUCUUUGGUACCCCAUUUUCUCUCAUGUGCCCAGCAAUUCUGCCUGAUUUUGCUACUGACAUUGAUUGAUCACAGGUCAAAAAUGGUAUCAAUACAUAUACAGUAUAGAAGGGCGGCAUGGUAGUGUAGUGGUUAGCACAACGCUUUACAGUACAGGCAACCUGAGUUCAAUUCCCUACGCUGCCCGUCAAGAAUUUUUAUGUUCUCCCCAUACGUCCAAAUACGUAUGGGCUGGCAGGAUAAAUGUCCUGUGGUUAAACUAGGAUUAGAACAGGGGAUUACUAGAUGGCAUGGCUUGAAGGCUCAGGAGGACGAAUUCCUUGCUGUAUUUCAAUAAAUAAAUAUACACACGCACAGAAAAGUAAUUGAGAUAUAAAAUACUGUUUUCAUUCAUAGAAGAUUUUGAAAUAUGCCCGAAUAAAUUACAUUCUGUGCUUCAUGUCAUAACUAAAUUUAUGUUUAUAAAGGUAAAUCACCCCUUUCAAUAUCAUAUGCAGAAUCAACAAAGCAUGUAUUCCGUACAUUUGCAUUUCUACGCACAUACAAGAAUGCAGAUUACAAUCAAGAUUCACAAGUUAUUCUACUUUAUAUUGUCUCCUGCUACAUGGCUUUUCUUGGCAGUGGGGUAUUUGCCUGCUCCCAUGCUUCUCAAUAUUUAUAAUUUCAUUCAAUUUACUUAGCCAUUAUUUUCAUCCUUUCUAGGCAAUUAUUCUGCCUUCAGCUGUUCUCCUGAGUUACUGGACUGUGUAAUAAAUACAGCACUGCAUGGUAUUAAUACCAAUUUUGUCCCACAUUCAAAAGCAUAGAAUACAAAAGCCAAUACUCAUCUGCAAAUGUGAACAAUUAUUUUUCAAUACCAAUAACUUUGGAAGCUACUGAUAAAUUAGGGACAUCACCACAAGCUCAAAUUCAAUUCAAGCCAUGUAUUACAAAAAUGAUCAAUGUAUUGAGCUAAAUGAUAAA